rnacentral:rRNA from 1 species
ACUCCUACGGGAGGCAGCAGUGGGGAAUAUUGCACAAUGGGGGAAACCCUGAUGCAGCCAUGCCGCGUGUGUGAAGAAGGCCUUCGGUUGUAAAGUACUUUCAGCAGUGAGGAAGGCGGAGUCGUUAAUAGCGGCCUCGUUUGACGUUAGCUGCAGAAGAAGCACCGGCUAACUCCGUGCCAGCAGCCGCGGUAAUACGGAGGGUGCGAGCGUUAAUCGGAAUUACUGGGCGUAAAGCGCAUGCAGGCGGCCUGUUAAGUCAGAUGUGAAAGCCCGGGGCUUAACCUCGGAAUUGCAUUUGAAACUGGCAGGCUAGAGUCUUGUAGAGGGGGGUAGAAUUUCAGGUGUAGCGGUGAAAUGCGUAGAGAUCUGAAGGAAUACCAGUGGCGAAGGCGGCCCCCUGGACAAAGACUGACGCUCAGAUGCGAAAGCGUGGGGAGCAAAACAGGAUUAGAUACCCUGGUAGGAUAGCG